UCCCAGACUCCUACGGGAGGCAGCAGUGGGGAAUAUUGGGCAAUGGGCGCAAGCCUGACCCAGCAACGCCGCGUGAAGGAAGAAGGCUUUCGGGUUGUAAACUUCUUUUCUCAGGGACGAAGCAAGUGACGGUACCUGAGGAAUAAGCCACGGCUAACUACGUGCCAGCAGCCGCGGUAAUACGUAGGUGGCAAGCGUUAUCCGGAUUUACUGGGUGUAAAGGGCGUGUAGGCGGGAAAGCAAGUCAGAUGUGAAAUCCUGCGGCUUAACCGCAGAACUGCAUUUGAAACUGUUAGUCUUGAGUAUCGGAGAGGCAGGCGGAAUUCCUAGUGUAGCGGUGAAAUGCGUAGAUAUUAGGAGGAACACCAGUGGCGAAGGCGGCCUGCUGGACGACAACUGACGGUGAGGCGCGAAAGCGUGGGGAGCAAACAGGAUUAGAUACCCGAGUA
rnacentral:rRNA from 1 species